rnacentral:rRNA from 1 species
UACGUAGGGACCAAGCGUUGUUCGGAUUUACUGGGCGUAAGGGGCGCGUAGGCGGCGUGUUAAGUCAGCUGUGAAAUCUCCAAGCUUAACUUGGAACGGUCAGCUGAUACUGAUGUGCUAGAGUGCAGAAGGGGCAACCGGAAUUCUUGGUGUAGCGGUGAAAUGCGUAGAUAUCAAGAGGAACACCUGAGGUGAAGACGGGUUGCUGGGCUGACACUGACGCUGAGGCGCGAAAGCUAGGGUAGCAAACGGG